AUUUAUAUAGUUUAAUAAAACAUUACAUUUUCAUUGUAAAAUUAAAAAAAUUUUUUUUUAUAAAUU
rnacentral:tRNA from 2 species